UAAUUCACUUCAAUCAUCACUGACUGUCAAUGGGUUCGUGCUCUUGAGAGUGGGUGCGAGCCAUUGGUGACUACUGGAGCUGCUCCUCCCGCUCCAACCCCUUGAACCCCAACCGCCCACCGAAAAUCCAACCUCCCUUCCCCACUUGCACCGCGUGUUGUGCAACUCUGCCCGAAGCCGUCAUCUGUAAUUCACCUUGGCAGGCAUGUGAGUGCGAUGCACACGCAGCAUCCCCACAAAGCCCUGCCGCACUUCGCCCGCUGGCCACGCCCCCCGUCACCCACAAAAGAACAGCUGUCAAUGGUUGUUUACAGAGCAACAGAGACAGCUGUCACGCAGGAAAC
ensembl:ncRNA lncRNA:CR45602 long non-coding RNA:CR45602